rnacentral:misc_RNA from 1 species
UGCACUGAUCACCACCGCAGUCCUAGAAAACCACAAUUUGUCGAAUGACGUCAACAAUCCUCAGCUUUGACGUCGUUUCCAGUGUUACGUCAACAAUGCCGUUCGGAUGAUGGAAAUAGUGCACUGGAAUAAGACAGCACAUUUCAAACCAGUUGUUGCGAUGUUGUACAAGAACACCUUCCCGGGAUGGGGACCAGCCCAGUUGGUAUGUGAAGUAUUAUUCCUGAUAGCCGAAGUCCUCGUCCACCCCUGUUUGUGGAGCCUGUCCUGUCUGUUGUCCUUGUACAUGCCGAUCACAAAGGAACAAGCACACCCAGGACGUGUGCUGUUCAACAAAACAAUAUGGACUGUUCCAUUUCUGGUGUGGCACAUUUGCAUGUACCCCAUUGCCUUUGUCGGCGGAAUUCUACGUCUGCUGCUGCUUGGUAUCAGAAGAAAAUAUAUAUACGUCCAUAAGCCCAACACUGCUCAGCCUGUACCAAUACAGAGAAACUACAGCAUCGCUUCAAUUAAUGUGUGUCUUUUCCAAGAAUUCCCCAGUCGUAUCAAUAAUCUGGAUGAUCCUUAUCGACGGGCAAAGCAAAUUGGUGAGCGAAUUAUCAUUGACCAAUAUUUCUACAAAGAUUUCCAACAAAGAAACGGUCCACAGAGUCCGGAAUCAAGGUACAGCCUGAGAUCCAGAAAUCACAUCAUUCAGGAAGGAGUGCCAGAAAGAAGAGACGUUCAAGCCAGCGUUGAGGCCCACUUCCCCCAGCUAGACUUCAUCUGUUUCCAGGAAGUGUGGCAACGUUGUUACUCACGUCUGUUGAUAGCGGAGCUGCAGAAGGUGUUCCCAUACGUCAUCCAUGACGCCGGUCACUGGAGCCUAGGCUGCAACUACUUCAUGUUCAACAGUGGUCUUCUGUUUGCAAGUCGAUAUGAAAUAUUAGACGUAGACUUUAAACCUUUCUUGAACAGUUGCAAGUUUUGUGUGAUAAAUUCCAAAGGGCUGUUGAUGGUGAAGGUGCUGCUCGGCAAGACAGGUGCACACAAACGGGAUGUAGGCUACAUGUUCUGCACACAUCUACAGGCGUACCAAGGAGAUCAGAAGGUGACAGACAAGCAGCUGGAUGAUAUAUUACGAUGGACAGAAGAGUUCCGGCAGGAAACAGCAUCUAAACAUGACAGUGUCAAGUUGGACUGUAUCAGUGGCGACUUCAACUUUGACAACAUGUCACCAUGUGACCAUGAGCUGUCCAGCCACCCACUGUUUGACCAGUACGAGGACCCCUGCAGGGAGAGACAAGGCAUGGACAAGCCCUGGACUGUUGGAACGGAGUUCCGGCAGAACCUACUUUGGGACCAGGAAGUGUCAACUCCGGAGGGCCUGUGUUCUGUGCUGAAGGAUCCACUCCAGCGGCAGCGCUACAUGGUGGACGCGGACCUCCAGACCAGCACACUAGACUCCAUUGUCAAUGCCUCGUGUAAAGUUGAUCAACAUGGCAACGUCAUUCCGUCACCUCGCGGGGGGAAGCGAAGAGUGGACUACGUAAUUCACCGUAAAAAUGUUUCUAGAGCAUCAAAGUACAAGUUUGUAAGCAGGUUGGCCACCUUGACUGACCAUAUACCAGUAGCUCUGACCUUGGAAACUUGACCUUGGAAACUUGUCUGUGGACUGCCCUCACUUUGCUGGCAUAGAUAUGUAUAGCGGUCCAUGUCUGCAGUGUGAUUGUUUCUUGUUGAUGUCACAAUGUUAUCAUCCUCAACUCCAUGGGGAGUAUACAACCCAAGCUGCCCAGGGGUGCCAGAAGGUUUUAACAUCCACCUCACAAAUUCGGGUACCCUUUCCCUGCUGGGUGAUCAGAGGCACAUUUGAACUAAGUCACUUGUCCAGGGUGACACCACAAGUUUUGACACUUGUGUUUCAGGUGUAUGAAUGUAUUCGUGUUUCCAUCAUCUGGUCAUCUACCAUCGGACGAGUGGGUUCUUUUGAGUGCACAGGGUGACUGUACUGUACACUAGGGGUAGUGGCAACACUUAAAGGGCCUGUAAACAUUGUUGGUCCCAAAGCUAAAUAACAACCCGGUCAUCAGCGGGAUACGAUCCCAGCAUCUGGCGCUUGUUAGCCUGGCACUUUUGACAGCUUCCCCACUCAUCUAAGUUUUUCAUUGGAAGUUCUAAAAAUCGGCCUUUUUAACUCAUAGCCAUAUUUGUUGUCCAAAAAGGGCUACCUAUAGUUGUCAGACAUUUGAACAUGUUAACUUUCAUAGCAAUAUUCAAAGUUUUCCUCUAUUUUAAUAUUUGACAUUUCCAGCGUGCCAAAAAGGGUCCUUAUAAACAUGUGGGCAACCACAUAAAAAGAUCUCUUACUCUGUGAUUCGACACCUCUCCAGAGAGCUGUGGGAGCAGAGUUAGUGAUCUGAUGUUAAUGAGAUCCCAUGUAUGGGUGUAUAGCACUCAGAGUCAUCAGUUGCUGGUCACCAAGUCUUAUGGCUUGCAUAUGGUUGUCACCUGCUAGACUUAGCAGUUUCAUUGGUUUAUGAUCACAUUUUGUAUGACUUUAUUCAUUCAGAUUCUUUGUUUAUAUCUAUACACAUAUAUAUUUUUUUGAUGAUAAAAAGAAAACCCAUGAUUAAAAAAAGAAAAAUGGUGUUU